CGGUUGGAUGAGUACCGCACCAGAACUUCGCCUAGGAACCAACUGAGGAGUCGGAAAGGGGAAGGCGAGUGGAAUUGGUUGGUCCGGCUAGGGCUGGGCUUUUGUUUUUCUCCAGUUACCCUUGGAGGGGCUGGGGACGCAGACCUCGCCCUCCCGGAGCUUCAGCUAGUGAAGUCCAACUCAGGCUUGGGCGUUGGAUUGAACCAACAUGCACCCAACACCAACAAUGUGGCAAGUGCUGGAAAUAAAGAUGAGUACAAUGAUAUUCUACCGCAGAGAACUUCCAGGGCAGAGGAAGACAAUUACAUAGCUGGAGCCUAAUCCAGCUCACACAGUCUGACCUACUGUGUGUCCAGCUGAAGACUGCAUGCACAAAUGGACAAAGAUCAGACCAUUUACAGUAACAUCACACUCAUCCACAAUCUCUGCAGCAACCGGCCUGGAAUGGCUGGGACUUGAUCAAGUACGUCUCUAUUUUUGCCUCCAUUUCUAACACAGGACUGACCACAGAAAAGCAAAUAUGCUCCCCAAACCAAUCACUUAAGACACUCCACUACUAGUUAGCCUGCUUCCAGCUUCCCCGUGCCAAUCUCCUCCAACCCAAGCACACCUGACGACUUGCCUUUUUUUUCCCACUAUAAAGCGUUCCCACUUCCCAGGCUGCCACUGAGUCUCUGCCAAAUGCUGGUAAUGGUGGCUGAUGCCCUUGCUGUAUAGUAAUCUCUGAUUAAAGAGCAUAAUUUGUUUGUUCUUA